UAGUCCACGCCGUAAACGAUGAUAACUAGCUGUCCGGACUCAUAGAGUUUGGGUGGCGCAGCUAACGCAUUAAGUUAUCCGCCUGGGGAGUACGGUCGCAAGAUUAAAACUCAAAGGAAUUGACGGGGGCCUGCACAAGCGGUGGAGCAUGUGGUUUAAUUCGAAGCAACGCGAAAAACCUUACCAGCUCUUGACAUAUGGAUCGCGGAGACCAGAGAUGGACUCUUUCAGUUCGGCUGGAUCCAAUACAGGUGUUGCAUGGUUGUCGUCAGCUCGUGUCGUGAGAUGUUGGGUUAAGUCCCGCAACGAGCGCAACCCUCAUCCUUAGUUGCCAACAGGUAAUGCUGGGAACUCUAAGGAAACUGCCGGUGAUAAACCGGAGGAAGGUGGGGGAUGAUGUCAAAUCAGCAUGGCCCUUACGGGGCUGGGGCUACACGCGUACUACAAUGGGCUAUUACAAU
rnacentral:rRNA from 1 species